rnacentral:rRNA from 1 species
CAGUCGCCGCGGUAAUACGUAGGUGGCAAGCGUUGUCCGGAAUUAUUGGGCGUAAAGGGCUCGCAGGCGGUUUCUUAAGUCUGAUGUGAAAGCCCCCGGCUCAACCGGGGAGGGUCAUUGGAAACUGGGAAACUUGAGUGCAGAAGAGGAGAGUGGAAUUCCACGUGUAGCGGUGAAAUGCGUAGAGAUGUGGAGGAACACCAGUGGCGAAGGCGACUCUCUGGUCUGUAACUGACGCUGAGGAGCGAAAGCGUGGGGAGCGAACAAGAUUAGAUACCCCGGUAGUCCCUGUCUCUUAUAC